rnacentral:rRNA from 1 species
GUUGCAGUUAAGAAGCUCGUAGUUGGAUUUCUGCGGGGACGGGGCGGCCGGUCGCAACUUGCGACUCGAGCUAGCACUUUCCCCGCAUCCUGCCGCGAACCGUGCUACCAUUAGUUUGGUGGCGCCGGGGAUCGGCUCGAUUACUUUGAGAAAAAUAGAGUGUUCAAAGCAGGCCACACGCCUUGAAUAAGUUAGCAUGGAAUAAUGACUAAGGACUUUGGUUCUUUUCGUUGGUGUUCGGGACUGAAGUAAUGAUUGAUAGGGACAGUUGGGGCGGUCUGUAUUCCAAAGCGAGAGGUGAAAUUCUUAGACCUUCGGAAGACAAACAGCUGCGAAAGCGUUCCGCAAGGAUGUUCCCUUUGAUCAAGAACGAAAGUUGGGGGAUCGAAGACGAUCAGAUACCGUCGUAGUCUCAACUAUAAACUAUACCAGCUAGGGAUCGGCCAACGUUUAAUUAUUCGACUUGGUCGGCACCUUAUGAGAAAU